ensembl:snRNA U6 U6 spliceosomal RNA
GUCCUUCCUAUCAGCUGCACAGAUGCUAAAAACUGGACCGAUACAGGAGACGGUCAGCAUGGCCCCUGUGCAGGGAUGGCAUGCAAGUCUGGGAACUGUUUCACAGUGUG